AAUUAAGAAGCAAUAUGCAUUCAGUUUCGACCUGAAAGAUAGGUAGAUUCAAUACCCUUAAUUA
rnacentral:tRNA from 2 species